rnacentral:lncRNA from 1 species
GAAACGGAGCAGCUCUGUUGCCUAGAGGCAGUGCCCCGGGACCACCAGGCCACCACUGGUCUCCAGGACUGUCAGCAAUACCCAGCCCUAGGCACAGCCCCUGCCCUCUAAAUAAAUGGCCUUAUUGACCAGAGCACAUUCCCUCUGGCUGGUCCUGCCGGUGCUUCCCAAGGGGAUUUGGGAGAAGACUUUCUCGCAGAGUCCACGACGCAGAGGCCUGGACACCCAGCCCGGUGUUUCCACACACACUCAAACCUGGUCGCCUCACUUCCGAGGUCUGCCAGCAGUGUGCCAAGGUCGUGGGUUGGGAUGGGUUUGCAGGCCCAGGGAUAAAGUUGCCCUCUCUAGGCUCACUGGCGGGUGGCUCUUGGUUUGGGGCUGUACACUGCCCGUCUCUCUCCUGAAAGCAUCCCAGUUUCAUGAGUGGAAAUUGCCCCUCCCUGGCUGUCUUGGGGCAGGGGCACUUCUUGGCUCCUUCCUCCCACCACCGGCCUCCCCCCGCUGAAGUCAGAGAGGUCAGAUCCCUCCUCUCCUCACCUGGCUGCGUCAGUGGGGCGUCAGACGCUCUCCGCCGUGGCCUUCCAUUCUGCCAGAGCCAGUUCUCUUCGUGGCAAUAGCCGUUGUGUGUCACUGAUGCCGUCCUGACCUCUGUCCCGGUCAAAGGAGGUGGCCGGUGUUCCUCCUUCCUGCGUCUUGACCCACAGCGUUUCCUUGAUUCCUGCUGACCUAAGCCUGCGCUUCUGGUCUUUCAUCAGUUGUGUUAGCUCCCAGUGGCCUCCAAAAGAAAAAAAAGUCCCCUGCUGUCUCACUUCUGGUGCUCACACCGUGAAUACCGGGGGGGGAUGUCACCCCCAAGAACGGAGGUUCACGCUUUCACUCCUGACUCACCCCCGUUUGCUCCUGAGGACAGUCUGGGUGCCCCCCCCGCCCCGCCCCAGCAAAUCCCACUUACCCUAACCCUUCCCCGAUAAGGCGAACACAAAGGCGCGUGCUCCCCAGAUGUGGUCAGUGUUGGCGCGGGUGGUGAGACGGCUGGAGGCUCCGUUUCCCUCGAAAGCUCGCACUUGUCCCGUAGAAGAAUUUUCCCGUUUCCAUACGCUCCACUGGGUCGAUGAGAAGCAGCAGCGUCUCUCUGUGUUUGUUCAAGGGCGGUGAGACAAACUGAAACAAUAACGCUCUUUUUGGUGCUGAAGGCGGCAGCCCCGUCCCCGAGCGGGUGUCCUUGAGAAGGGGACUCUCGGUGUGUGGCACCGCCCGCUGGCUGUUAUCGCCCGCCUCCUGGGUGGAUUUAUUGACAGAGCCAAGGGCAGAUCUCCCAGGCUUUGUGGCAGGCAUGUCUCAGGACACGUCCUCAGCCUCCUGUGCCCCAGGUCCCCCCACGCGCACCAGGAGGGAAACGGCACCGAACGACGCUAGGAGUUCUGCUGCUCGGUUCUGGGGCCUCUUGGAAGGUCAUUGCCUGGUGGGAGCCACACCCAGGAGAGAGCCCGGCGUCCCACUGUCUGGGUGGGAAGCGUUUAGUUGUGUCCCGGUGGACGGCACUUUUUGAGUUGCACACAGCAAAGCCCACCCCAAGCCGGCUUAAGCAAAAAGGGAAUUGAUUGCAAUCUGGUUGAUUUACAGUGUUACAGUAGUUUCAGGCGUACCACGAAGCGCUUCGAUGUUUUUGUCAAUUACACUCCAUCUAAAGGUUUUACAAGAUAAUGGUUAUAUUCCCUGUGAUGCACAAACAAGGGAAUGUAUUGACUCGUCUAACAGAAACACUGGCAUCUAAAUUCAGGCUUAGCUGGAUGCAGGGGCUAAGGAAGUGUUGUCAGGAUUCGGUCUCUCUCAGUCUCUUCUUCCGCCUCCUUUGCCUGCUUCAUCCUCAGGCACGCUUUUCCCACGCAAGACAAGCUGGGUGCCAGCAGCGCCAGGCUUGCAUCCUACCAGCUUAGCACUUCUUCCCAAGGGUUCCGGCGCGAGUCCAGGGCUGACUCUCCCUGGAGGGCCAAGUGACAUGCCCAUUGCUGGAACCACCCGCUCUCGGGAGCCAAGCUGCAGCCUCUGCUGAUCAGCCAGACUUGGUCCUGUUCUCGCUCCUGGAGUUGGGGGGCAGGGGGAGCCUCACUUCCACCUAUGACCCAAGAUGCAAGGCAGGGUGGCUCACUAAAGACAGGUCAGGAGCUGUGACCAGAGUGGGGAAAGACGCCGGGAGCGAAAAGACCCGCAGGCCCCACGCGGGUUCAUCUGGAUGGGUGGUUACCCAAGAGCGUGGCCCAGACUCGCAGCAUCCACCUCCCGUGGAAACUUGGGAGGAAGGCAGGUCCGUGGGCCCCACUGCAGACCCGCCUCAUGGAAGCGGUCUCCCCAGGUGAUCCAGAUGCAUGUUAAAGUUUGAAAACCACGCGUGCAGACCGGGGGGCUGGCCACCCUGACUUCAGUUAGAAUCACCAGGGGAGCUUCUAAGCUGCCUGGACCCCACUCCCAACCAACCGGAUCAUGACAAGGAGUACGGGGGGUGGGCUCCAGUCAGCGGUGCUUUUGACAUGUUCCACCAAGUGGUUCCAAUGGGGCCAAGCGCGACAGGGGCCCUGAGCUCAAAGGAACACUUGUUCUCGGUACUAUUUGUGCAGUGGACAUGAACGAGGGUGUGGACUGUCCCUCUGCUGCGGAUGGUGGCUUAGUAAAGGAGUGACUUGAGAGGUGGCACCUGCAGCCAAGCCAACGGAAACAACAAGGUGGGGGAUGGGAAUUCCCAUCGAGGCUCAGUGGCAACGAACCUGACUAGUAACCAUGAGGACACAGGUUCCAUCCCUGACCUCGCUCAGCAGGUUGAGGAUCCAGCGUUGCCGUGAGCUAUGGGGUAGGUCCCAGAUAUGGCUCAGAUCCCGCAUUGCUGUGGCUGUGGUGUAGGCUGGCAGCUACAGCUCUGAUUUGACCCCUAGCCUGGGACGCUCCAUGUGCCGCAGGAGCAGCACUAAAAAGCAAAAUACAUAAAUAAAUAUUCUAAAAAAAAAAAAAACCAAAACCCAAAACAAAGUGAGGGAUGCAGGAGCCACUCAGCUGCGUGGAGUCUGAACUGGGAGUUCCCUGUGCUGUGAUAAAUGCGUCUUUACACCCUCAUGGCUGAUUCAUUACAGAGGAGGAGCAUGGGAGGGGGAAUCAGAGGCACGGUUUAGUGAGUGCGUCCUGAAUUUGCUGACUUAAAUCUGACCUAGCCCCGUGCAGGAAGUGCUACUAACCCUAGCUGUAAUUCUGGGAGGCAGGUAACAUUACCCCUCCAGGGAGGAGAGCCUUGGGGUCAAAGAGAGCUCAGUGGCCGAGCUGGGACUUGCGUCUAGAGCUGUCGGGUUCCGAGACAGUGGGGUUCUCCAGUUAGGAGCAGGGCAUCUUGGGGAGGGGGUUAGAGGCAAAUUCUCUGAUUCCACGUGUUGUGAGGAAAGAGCACUGGCCUGGAAUCAGCCCCUGGGCUGCUCUCCCAGCGCCGCUCUUGCCUGGAGGUGGGACCCGGAGCACGUCACUUCCCUGGCUGGGGCCUCAGUCUCCUGACUUGUACAGCAGGACGGCUUAAACCACCCCUGAGGUCUUGUCUUGUCUUUCUUCCUGGCUGGCUUUCUUUCUUUCCCCAUUCUUUUUGGAUGACGGUGUCAGGAAGUUUCCUGCAGAAGAGGUUUCCUCCUUCCCAGGAUCCUAAGACCUGUGUGGAAAGACUCCUGUGUUCCAGCCUGAGCAGGUGUUCGAGUCAUUCUGCUGUUGACUAAAACAUGGCUCCCUAGACCCGGAGUAAAUGAUUCCUGAUUUCCUGGAGUUCUCUUGCGGCGCCGCUGAUUAAGGAUUCAGCAUUGUCACUGCAGCAGCUCUGGUCACUGCUGGGACACAGGUUUGAGCCCUGGCCCAGGAACUUCCACAUACCGCAGGUGCAGCCAAAACCAAGAAACCAAAAAACUUGGAAGGAUUCCUGAUUUCCUAAGGCUUAGAGUCAGCACAGCUCAGGACUGCAGAAGUCACAGGACCUGACGCCAGCAUUUAUCCGUCACUGCUGCGCUCAGCUGCGUGCUGGGCAGUGAGGAAGACGCAGAAAUGAUGGGGCAUCACCUGCUGCCAAAGAGGAGAUGCUCUCCGCCAUCUACAGAGAAUCCUGUUGUGCUGGAGCCAGAAGGGCCGGCUUCGUGGGAGAGCUGGAAACGGACCUGGAACCUCAAGCUCCCCCCAGGCCCGCAGGAGGAAGCCUCAGCUGGGAGCCAGCCCAACACCUCUGACACCGGCCGCCCUGCCUUUGGGCGAAGAGGGAGCCGGCCUCGGGCGCGGAGGCUUCCGCAGGCGCCGGUGUCCAGCUGGGAUUUGCUCACACGUCCUUGCACUGGUGUUUAUGGCAGCCCUCCGUUGACGGCUGAACCUUCCCCACUUUGCUGUCAACCUGGAUUCUGCUGCUACAGCCCUGGGAUGUUCAGGCAAGUCAGUUUGCUUCUCUGAACUUUGUUUUCUCGUCUGUAAAAUGGAGCUAAUAAUAGAACCUCCAUCAGGGGCUGUUGUAAGGAUGAAAAGAGUCCUCAGAAAAGUGGCUGCCACAUACUCCGAAGCUCAGGACACAUCAGCUUUGUUUUCGAUUCCAAGAAUCUGAAAGCACGGGAAAUCAUUCUGAGGGGAAAAUGUGAUUUACAGUCUCUAGGAAAGAAAAUAUACACAAUAAUGAGACAGGUUCCAAGAGACAUGUGUUGUCAUCUGUGAGUGGAGCUUUUCCUGCCUACACAGUCUCGGUAACUUCCUUAAAGAUACGUGCUCUCUUUGUAACCCUUAAGCUCCCACACGUUGGAGGCUUUCUUUUCCUUUCUCUUCUUCUUCUUCUUCUUCUUUUUUUUUUUUUUUGCCACACCCAAGACAUGCAGAAGUUCCCCAGGGCCCAGGGAUUGAACCACAGCGGUGACCACACGGAGUUCUUAACUGCUAGGCUGCCAGGGAACUCCCAGAGGCUUUCUUAAGUCAAGCGUGAGUGACUUCUGCUUCUCUUCCAUGCGCAAGAGAUUCCUUAAAAUCUAACACCUUUAGCCCCAUUAAAAAAAAAAAAAAA